AGAGUUUGGAUCCUGGCUCAGAUUGAACGCUGGCGGCAUGCCUAACACAUGCAAGUCGAACGGUAACAGGCCGCUGUGAUCCCUUCGGGGUGAUCUUGGCGCUGACGAGUGGCGGACGGGUGAGUAAUGCUUGGGAAUCUGCCCAGUAGUGGGGGACAACACGAGGAAACUCGUGCUAAUACCGCAUACGUCCUACGGGAGAAAGUGGGGGAUCUUCGGACCUCACGCUAUUGGAUGAGCCCAAGUCGGAUUAGCUUGUUGGUGAGGUAAAGGCUCACCAAGGCGACGAUCCGUAGCUGGUCUGAGAGGACGAUCAGCCACACUGGGACUGAGACACGGCCCAGACUCCUACGGGAGGCAGCAGUGGGGAAUAUUGGACAAUGGGGGCAACCCUGAUCCAGCAAUGCCGCGUGUGUGAAGAAGGCCUGCGGGUUGUAAAGCACUUUCAGUAGAGAAGAAAUGCCUGGGGUUAAUAACUCCGGGUCUUGACGUAACCUACAGAAGAAGCACCGGCUAACUCCGUGCCAGCAGCCGCGGUAAUACGGAGGGUGCGAGCGUUAAUCGGAAUUACUGGGCGUAAAGCGCGCGUAGGCGGCUAGGUCAGUCGGAUGUGAAAGCCCCGGGCUCAACCUGGGAAUUGCAUUCGAAACUGCCUGGCUAGAGUAUGGGAGAGGGAAGCGGAAUUUCCGGUGUAGCGGU
rnacentral:rRNA from 1 species